AUUGAACGCUGGCGGCAUGCCUUACACAUGCAAGUCGAACGGCAGCACGGGAGCAAUCCUGGUGGCGAGUGGCGAACGGGUGAGUAAUGUAUUGGAACGUGCCCAGUCGUGGGGGAUAACGUAGCGAAAGCCACGCUAAUACCGCAUACGAUCUAUGGAUGAAAGCGGGGGAUCGCAAGACCUCGCGCGAUUGGAGCGGCCGAUAUCAGAUUAGGUAGUUGGUGGGGUAAAGGCUCACCAAGCCGACGAUCUCUAGCUGGUCUGAGAGGACGACAAGCCACACUGGGACUGAGACCGGGCCCAGAUUCCUACGGGAGGCAGCAGUGGGGAAUUUUGGACAAUGGGCGCAAGCCUGAUCCAGCAAUGCCGCGUGCAGGAUGAAGGCCUUCGGGUUGUAACCUGCUUUUGUACGGAACGAAACGGCGAGCUCUAAUACAGUUUGCUAAUGACGGUACCGUAAGAAUAAGCACCGGCUAACUACGUGCCGGCCGCCGCCGGUAA
rnacentral:rRNA from 1 species